UCGCCUGCCCGCCAUGGCCGACAAGGAAGCAGCCUUCAAGGAUGCAGUGGAAGAACGAGUGAUCAACGAGGAAUACAAAAUAUGGAAAAAGAACACCCCUUUUCUUUAUGAUUUAGUGAUGACCCAUGCUCUGGAGUGGCCCAGCCUAACUGACCAGUGGCUUCCAGAUGUAACCAGACCAGAAGGGAAAGAUUUCAGCAUUCAUCGACUUGUCCUGGGGACACACACGUCGGAUGAAAAAAACCAUCUUGUUAUAGCCAGUGUGCAACUCCCUAAUGAUGAUGCUCAGUUUGAUGCGUCACACUACGACAGUGAGAAAGGAGAAUUUGGAGGCUUUGGUUCAGUUAGUGGAAAAAUUGAAAUAGAAAUCAAGAUAAACCAUGAAGGAGAAGUAAACAGGGCCCGUUAUAUGCCCCAGAACACUUGUAUCAUCACAAGAAAGACUCCUUCCAGUGAUGUUCUUGUCUUUGACUAUACAAAACAUCCUUCUAAACCAGAUCCUUCUGAAGAGUGCAACCCAGACUUGCGUCUCUGUGGACAUCAGAAGGAAGGCUAUGGGCUUUCUUGGAACCCAAAUCUCAGUGGGCACUUACUCAGUGUUUCAGAUGACCACACCAUCUGCCUGUGGGACAUCAGUGCCGUUCCAAAGGAGGGAAAAGUGGUAGAUGAGAAGACCAUCUUUACAGGGCAUACGGCAGUAGUAGAAGAUGUUUCCUGGCAUCUACUCCAUGAGUCUCUGUUUGGGUCAGUUGCUGAUGAUCAGAAACUUAUGAUUUGGGAUACUCUUUCAAACAAUACUUCCAAACCAAGCCACUCAGUUGACGCUCACACUGCUGAAGUGAACUGCCUUUCUUUCAAUCCUUAUAGUGAGUUCAUUCUUGCCACAGGAUCAGCUGACAAGACUGUUGCCUUGUGGGAUCUGAGAAAUCUGAAACUUACGUUGCAUUCCUUUGAGUCACAUAAGGAUGAAAUAUUCCAGGUUCAGUGGUCACCUCACAAUGAGACUAUUUUAGCUUCCAGUGGUACUGAUCGCAGACUGAAUGUCUGGGACUUAAGUAAAAUUGGAGAGGGACAAUCCCCAGAAGAUGAGAAGAGAAGACGGGCCACCAGAGUUGUUGUUUAUUCAUGGUGGUCAUACUGCCAAGAUAUCUGAUUUCUCCUGGAAUCCCAAUGAACCUUGGGUGAUUUGUUCUGUAUCAGAAGACAAUAUCAUGCAAGUGUGGCAAAUGGCAGAGAACAUUUAUAAUGAUGAAGACCCUGAAGGAAGCGUGGAUCCAGAAGGACAAGGGUCCUAGAUAUGUCUUUACUUCUUGUGAUUUUAGACUCCCCU